rnacentral:rRNA from 1 species
AACGAACGCUGGCGGCAGGCUUAACACAUGCAAGUCGAACGCAUCCUUCGGGGUGAGUGGCAGACGGGUGAGUAACGCGUGGGAACGUGCCCUUCAGUUCGGGAUAACCCAGGGAAACUUGGGCUAAUACCGGAUACGUGCGAGAGCAGAAAGAUUUAUCGCUGAAGGAUCGGCCCGCGUCUGAUUAGCUAGUUGGUGGGGUAAUGGCCCACCAAGGCGACGAUCAGUAGCUGGUCUGAGAGGAUGAUCAGCCACAUUGGGACUGAGACACGGCCCAAACUCCUACGGGAGGCAGCAGUGGGGAAUAUUGGGCAAUGGGCUCAAGCCUGAUCCAGCCAUGCCGCGUGAGUGAUGAAGGCCUUAGGGUUGUAAAGCUCUUUCGUCCGGGACGAUAAUGACGGUACCGGAAGAAGAAGCCCCGGCUAACUUCGUGCCAGCCGCCGCAGUAA